AUGGCAGGGAGGGUAAAAGAUCAAAUUUUGAUCAAAAUUUCUUGACAGAAGAUGAGUAAACUAUAAAGGGCCAAUGGCACAUAAUCAAAUGGAUCAUUGAAAUGAAAGAGAGAUUAGCUAGAAUCAAUUUUCAAAAAUAUGAAUACUCACAUGGAAUCAUGAGGUGAAAUUCUGAAUUUGAUGGUUAAUCACUUGUUUGUUAGAAUCUGAAUUGAAUUGGAUUGGAUUAAUCGCCGAAGCUGAGUGAUGCAAUUGAUGUGUAAGGUUUGCGGUUACUGUGGAUUUGAU
rnacentral:lncRNA from 1 species